CUUACCGUCUCCAACUUUUUAGAUCCGCUGAUACAACUUAGUCAGUUGAAGUAGUACUGAAGCAGAUGUUCCUCACGGAAGUGGUGGGUGAUGGCAGCAGUGCAGCACAUUGAAGUUAUGCAUUUUAGAGAGAGCAUCAAGGAAAUUAUGAAUGAGGAGUUUGGCGAUGAAAUAUGCAAACAUCCAUAGUCCUGUACUUUCGGCAGCCAAAAUGGAGAUUCAUUGACUAUUUGUAGGCCCCUUAAAUCCCAUGCAAGAAGCCUUCUAUCUUAUAUGAUCAGCUUAUCCAUAGCCUCCUAUCAUAAAGCAACUAUAUUGCUCCUAGCAAUUUUGUCCGUACAACAUACUGACUGCUUAU